UGCGGAGGGAUCAUUACACAAAUAUGAAGGCGGGCUGGAACCUCUCGGGGUUACAGCCUUGCUGAAUUAUUCACCCUUGUCUUUUGCGUACUUCUUGUUUCCUUGGUGGGUUCGCCCACCACUAGGACAAACAUAAACCUUUUGUAAUUGCAAUCAGCGUCAGUAACAAAUUAAUAAUUACAACUUUCAACAACGGAUCUCUUGGUUCUGGCAUCGAUGAAGAACGCAGCGAAAUGCGAUAAGUAGUGUGAAUUGCAGAAUUCAGUGAAUCAUCGAAUCUUUGAACGCACAUUGCGCCCUUUGGUAUUCCAAAGGGCAUGCCUGUUCGAGCGUCAUUUGUACCCUCAAGCUUUGCUUGGUGUUGGGCGUCUUGUCUCUAGCUUUGCUGGAGACUCGCCUUAAAGUAAUUGGCAGCCGGCCUACUGGUUUCGGAGCGCAGCACAAGUCGCACUCUCUAUCAGCAAAGGUCUAGCAUCCAUUAAGCCUUUUUUCAACUUUUGACCUCGGAUCAGGUAGGGAUACCCGCUGAACUUAAGCAUAUCAAUA
rnacentral:sRNA from 1 species